UACGUAGGGGGCAAGCGUUGUCCGGAUUUAUUGGGCGUAAAGAGCGUGUAGGCGGCCUGGUAGGUCAGCUGUGAAAACUCGAGGCUCAACCUCGAGACGCCGGUUGAAACCAUCAGGCUAGAGUCCGGAAGAGGAGAGUGGAAUUCCCGGUGUAGCGGUGAAAUGCGUAGAUAUCGAGAGGAACACCAGUGGCGAAGGCGAGUCCCUGGACAACUCCUGACACUAAGGCACGAAAGCUAGGGGAGCAAACAGG
rnacentral:rRNA from 1 species